CUUGAAAGCAAAAGGUUUACAUCAAGGAAAAAAAUAUCAUUAUAAUAUAAUAUCAAAUAAGAUUUUUUGCUAAUUAGUCACAUGACAACCCACUAUUUAUGGUUGAUACAUUCUAUGUUUCAUAACAUACCACCAAGGUAAUUAAUUAGAUUGACUAAUAAAAAUUUUAAGUUUGAUGUUUUUAAGAAAAUGAAAGGAAAAAAACAGUAGAAAUUCUCACUCUUGACUGAUCCUAAUUAUGAGGAUUGACUAGAAGAAGAUCAAACAUACCUUCAAAGUUGUUAUAGGCAAGGAAUAACUGUGUAAGCAUAGUUAAGUUCCCAAUCUGAGGGGGUAAUCUUCCAGACAAAUUAUUAACCGA